rfam:Oryza rufipogon genomic scaffold, chr01
CCUCCAUCCCAAAAUAAGUAUUCAUGUCCAACAUUUGAUUGUUUAUCUUAUAUGAAUUUUUUUAUGAUUAGUAUUUUUAUUGUUAUUAGACGAUAAAACAUAAAUAGUACUUUAAGUGUGCCUAAUUUUUUUAAUUUUUUUUAUAAAUUUUUCGAAUAAAACGGACAAUUAAAUGUUAGACACGGAUAUCCACGGUUGCACUUAUU